rnacentral:rRNA from 1 species
GGACCCGCACAAGCGGUGGAGCAUGUGGUUUAAUUCGAUGCAACGCGAAGAACCUUACCUGGUCUUGACAUCCUGCGAACUUUCUAGAGAUAGAUUGGUGCCUUCGGGAACGCAGUGACAGGUGCUGCACGGCUGUCGUCAGCUCGUGUUGUGAAAUGUUGGGUUAAGUCCCGCAACGAGCGCAACCCCUAUUGAUAGUUACCAUCAUUAAGUUGGGUACUCUAUUGAGACUGCCGCUGACAAGGCGGAGGAAGGUGGGGACGACGUCAAGUCAUCAUGGCCCUUACGACCAGGGCUACACACGUGCUACAAUGGGUAUUACAGAGGGCUGCGAAGGUGCGAGCUGGAGCGAAACUCAGAAAGGUACUCUUAGUCCGGAUUGCAGUCUGCAACUCGACUGCAUGAAGUCGGAAUC